UCAAGCCUGCUGCCACAGCUUUUUAACAGAGCUAUGAAGCUAGCCGAGUUACCAUAGUUAUGCAAAAUCUGCCAGUUGCUGUGCCGCUUCUCCCAUCCCCCAAAGCAGGUGGUGUCUCUGAGGCCUCCAGAGGAUGCAGCCGCCUGCUGGAUGGGUUUCCCAGGUGUGGUUUGGAGCAGGGAGGACGUCACUGUUCUCAAUGGGCACCUGUCACCAUUGAUUAGAAAAAUGAGCUCUCAGGAAAAUGUCAUUCUCUAAAGGGCUGUAGACCUUUAAGAAGAGGAAUGCACAUUUCUGCAAAAGAAGGAGGUUGUGAAUGACAAACAGCUUGGGAAGAAUGAGCACAUAGUCAUGCCCAGACUCACACAUGCCCACAUCAGUCUUCUGGAAGUUUCCCCAAACUGGUAUUGCUCUUGGACACUAACAGGACCUCAGAUUCCCUGUAACGCUGCUGACUUCUUGGUAGACUGUCUAUUGUGCAGAAGGUACAGCGCCAACCAUUCCUGAGAUGCCAGAUAUAAGUGAGAAAGGGCAAAGCCCAGAAACAGACACCAUCCCUAUGGCUGCCACUGUUUCCCUUUCAGGAAUGGCAGAACACAAACAGCUGGCAUUUCCAGGAGACUGUGCUGGGAAAGUUCUGGAAAGGACAGUAGCAGUAUGAAGGUAAGGGAUGCAUCCAACAGCUUCGACCUCCCAGAGGAGAGAGGAGGCUGCCAGUGCCUUUCAGCAGCUCCCAGGAUGAUACUGCCGGACUUGCACAUUCGGCCCCAGGGAGGAGGCCCCCAGGGGGAGUAUGCAUGGCAGGAGGAAGGGUCCUUAAAGGAGACAGGGGGCCGCAUCUCACAUACCU